CCUAUUGGCACGUAACUGAGAAGCAGGCAGGAGGUGGCAGCCAUUUAAGUGCAGAGGAUUAUUCAUAGGUAUUUAGUGAAAACAUAAAGAAUAUUAAAAGGGUAAUCAGAUCAACUAAUUGUAACAGAAGCUUGUUUCACCUCAUGUGUGAAGACUUUUACCUCUUAACUUGUUGUCAGAAGGGUGUAAGGAACCCCUGAUACCUCUCACCCCUCAACUCCCAUAGUAGCCUUAGGUAAUGUUUGCUAGGAUGACAGCUGCCUGAGAAGGAAUUUUAAAAUUCCAUUUUAAUAUGGCGGACAAGUCUUUAUUCAAGAGUUGUGUGAUUACCAGAAAUAAGUAAAUAAAGCCAAAUAGGAUUUAAUAGAAUAAAUGUAAGGAAUUUUAUGAGACCCAUAACAGGUACACACAGGCCCUUUGGGAGCCUCAGCUGAGGGUGAAAACAAGUCAUCAAGAGGCCAACAUAGCUGCCCUCCUAUGGGGCCACAGUCUCUUGGCUUCUCUGCACAGGUCUGCCCUGUUCUACAGUAUCUCUUUAUAGACUGAAUCUGCCUACUCAUCUGGCUCACUGAUGGCUUUACACAGCCACUCCCAAGUGGAAGUAUAUACUCAGCCUCUGAAAAUAAUCUAGUUAAACCCACUUGGUUUAUUUAAGUCUUGAAUUAUAAUUCUAGGAGCUUCCCUUGUGGUUCAGCUGGUAAAGAAUCCACGUGCAAUGCGGGAGACCUGGGUUCGAGACCUGCAAUUCUAGGAAGAGAUCUUUGGAUCGAGCUUGAAUCAAAUACAAAUACUUGGCCAACUGUCUGUGAUGGUGGCGAGGCGGAGUCACAGGAGGGCAUCCUGUGUGGAGGAGACGACUGUCACCUUUUGUGUGGGACAGUACAGCAAUGGCUGCCUGCUGGCAGGAGAACAUGUCCAAUUUUUUUUUUCAUAAGUGAAGACUUGACUGCAUAAAAUUUAGAAAUAUUUAAAUAGCCAAGAAUAUCUUAAGCAAAAUAAGGGCUAAGAAAAGUUACAAAAGAAACAAACAGUUGUAAAAUGUCAACUCCCCUAAAAUAACCAGAAAAUUCAGGAUUGAAUUAAUAAAAAUAUUACUAAAUAUAGCUGGGGGUGUUGUUAUUUAGGUCUUUUGUUUGGGGGGGUUGCACUGUUUUUGAAACCAAUGAAAACUUGAUAUAAAUAUUAAGUAACUUUUAUAGAUUUCUAAUAAAUCUCAUAGCAGAUAGAAAUGAUCUUUAUUAUUUCAAAUGUCUUCAUCCAGUCAUGUCAAACCUCUCUCAAUUAUGGUUUAGUAUAGUGGGCUUUUUAUUUCAAUCAAAAUAAAAUACUUAUACCUUCUGAUUCUAGAUGAUAUAAAUAAAUAAUUUUUUGGUGAUGGCCAUUCUGACUGGUAUGAGGU
rnacentral:lncRNA from 1 species